UACGUAGGGCGCAAGCGUUAUCCGGAAUUAUUGGGCGUAAAGAGCUCGUAGGCGGUUUGUCGCGUCUGCCGUGAAAGUCCGGGGCUCAACUCCGGAUCUGCGGUGGGUACGGGCAGACUAGAGUGAUGUAGGGGAGACUGGAAUUCCUGGUGUAGCGGUGAAAUGCGCAGAUAUCAGGAGGAACACCGAUGGCGAAGGCAGAUCUCUGGGCCGUAACUGACGCUGAGGAGCGAAAGCAUGGGGAGCGAACAGG
rnacentral:rRNA from 1 species